rnacentral:rRNA from 1 species
AACGCUAGCUACAGGCUUAACACAUGCAAGUCGAGGGGGCAGCAUGAACUUAGCUUGCUAAGUUUGAUGGCGACCGGCGCACGGGUGAGUAACACGUAUCCAACCUGCCGAUGACUCGGGGAUAGCCUUUCGAAAGAAAGAUUAAUACCCGAUGGCAUAAUUCUUCCGCAUGGUAGAACUAUUAAAGAAUUUCGGUCAUCGAUGGGGAUGCGUUCCAUUAGGUUGUUGGCGGGGUAACGGCCCACCAAGCCUUCGAUGGAUAGGGGUUCUGAGAGGAAGGUCCCCCACAUUGGAACUGAGACACGGUCCAAACUCCUACGGGAGGCAGCCAGUGAGGAAUAUUGGUCAAUGGACGAGAGUCUGAACCAGCCAAGUAGCGUGAAGGAUGACUGCCCUAUGGGUUGUAAACUUCUUUUAUCCGGGAAUAAAGUGAGGCACGUGUGCCUUUUUGUAUGUACCGUAUGAAUAAGGAUCGGCUAACUCCGUGCCAGCAGCCGCGGUAAUACGGAGGAUCCGAGCGUUAUCCGGAUUUAUUGGGUUUAAAGGGAGCGUAGGCGGACGCUUAAGUCAGUUGUGAAAGUUUGCGGCUCAACCGUAAAAUUGCAGUUGAUACUGGGUGUCUUGAGUACAGUAGAGGCAGGCGGAAUUCGUGGUGUAGCGGUGAAAUGCUUAGAUAUCACGAAGAACUCCGAUUG